rnacentral:rRNA from 1 species
CCAGAGAAUUUAGCAGAGAUGCUUUAGUGCCUUCGGGAACUCUGAGACAGGUGCUGCAUGGCUGUCGUCAGCUCGUGUUGUGAAAUGUUGGUUAAGUCCCGCAACGAGCGCAACCCUUAUCCUUUGUUGCCAGCACGUAAUGGUGGGAACUCAAAGGAGACUGCCGGUGAUAAACCGGAGGAAGGUGGGGAUGACGUCAAGUCAUCAUGGCCCUUACGAGUAGGGCUACACACGUGCUACAAUGGCGCAUACAAAGAGAAGCGACCUCGCGAGAGCAAGCGGACCUCAUAAAGUGCGUCGUAGUCCGGAUUGGAGUCUGCAACUCGACUCCAUGAAGUCGGAAUCGCUAGUAAUCGUAAAUCAGAAUGUUACGGUGAAUACGUUCCCGGGCCUUGCACACACCGCCCGUCACACCAUGGGAGUGGGUUGCAAAAGAAGUAGAUAGCUUAACCUUCGGGAGGGCGUUUACCACUUUGUGAUUCAUGACUGGGGUGAAGUCGUAACAAGGUAAGCGUAGUGCU